GGGUGGGUGGCCCCGGGAAGGAGUGGGCAAAGCAGGGCCCGCCCCGGUGCUUGUUUUUAGCAGAAUCAGAGGAGCCCCUGGUUCUGUAGACGGGCGGCGAGUGAGUGUAGGGCCAGCCGUAGCGGGUCACAUUCCCGCUCUGCCAUUGACUCUGGCCACAGACGCGGAGAGGUUGGGCUGGGCAGAGAGCCAGGGAAGUGGCCGUAGGGGAUGGCGGGGGGGUGGGGGUGGGGGUGGCAUUCGCAGGUGCAGGGCACGUGGCACAGGCUAGCUGCUUUGCAAACUCCUUUUCCCCCACAGGGCUUCUGGGUGGACACAGGCGCUGAGCCUGGAGGCUGCAGGAAGCCAACCUCCCUCUCCUCCUCCCCUGCCCCGAAGGACCCCUCCCAGCAGCCCUGGUGCUUGGGUCUGGCCCUCUCCGGUGCAUGCCUCCCUCCAGGCCCUUAGCCUAGGCUCCCCGAGAGCAUCCCAGUGCCUCACUGGGAGCUCCGACUCUCUUUUUCCCCUCCAGGAACCCCCGCCCCGUCCGCACACACACAGCUGCUCUCCCCGCAGAGCCAACGGCUGCCCAAGGAGGCUUUCAGGACACCCCUCUCCCACUGAGGGCCACCAGGCAGGGGUGCGACCCCUGGGGGAGACUGGAAGCCCUCCCCACUCAAGCACGGCAACCACCUGCAGGGAGCCGGGGACUCGUACCGAUGCUGCUCAAGCCGGCCAUUCUGGGGGGGACAGGGAGGGUGUCCUCUGUCCUCUUUGCACCUGCCAGGGCCCAGGUGUUGAAGAUUCCACCUCCAGCAUCAUACAGUAAACUCAGUGUGACUCUGACGUAUUUGCCGAGAUUGGCUUGUGAUCUCUUAGGGCUCCUGAUGUCCUUCCCGUGGGGCUGUCACUUUCUCCCUAGGUAGGUGAGUGAACAAGAGAAAGCAAGGGCUACAGAGAGGAAGGAGCAUGGGAGGGGGCUCUAGGCCCGCCUGGCACCAGCUGCUGGGCCAGUCCUCUGGCCUUUUGAUCGGCCACUUGACCAUCUUGCCUACCGUGGUCUCAUCGGCUCACUCCUGGCUGUGGUCCUGGGUCCCAGCCACCAGAGAACAGGGAGGGCUGGGGUUUGAAUGUCCUUAGAGCUCCAAGGGAGCUUGGCUCUGCUCCUUCCCUGCUCCCUGGAGGAAUUGGAUGGAGAGAAGGGGCUCCUGUGGUUCCUUUCAGUGAGGAAGCCUGCUGCAGUCAGAGCUGAGAUGCUCUGUGGGAGUGCAGGCCCAGAGGGGAGUCGUGGCCUGCCCAGGAUCCCACAAGACUGGGCCCAGGUGCCUGCCUCCCAAGGCCCUCUCACCCCGUGAACCCUGGAGAAACAGCUGGGGCCUGUGUGUGUCCCAGGGAAUAACCCCUGAGCUUCCUUGGGUCGGGACUCAUGGCUCUGGGUCCCAUCCUCAAGGGCAGGACGAGGGAAGGGCUCUGGGCCUCUUUGUGGGGCAGGAACCCUGGCCGUCCCCGCACCCUUGUGUGAACCGGCAGGAGCAAAGGGGUGGGGAAGCCAGACCUCCAGGGAGGGGAAGGGUGGGGAGUGCCGUUCCUCCGAGCACAUUCUCUAAGCGGGCUCCAGGCUCCGAGCUGCCAGCACAGAGCCUGACACGGGGCUCGAACCCUCAAACAGUGAGGUCGUAACCUGAGCGGAAGUUGGACGUUUAACCAACUGAGCCACCCAGGUGCCCCCGUGACAGUUUUUUUGUUCGUUUGUUUUUUACAGUGAGAUCGGAGGGACUGACAGCACAGAAUCCGCUUUGGAUCCUCUGUCUCCCUCUCUCUGUGCCCCUCCCCCCCCCAUACUCCCUCUCUUUCUCUCAAAAAUAAAUAAACAUUAAAAAAUAAAUAAGGAUGUGGAGACCGUGGCGGCCCAGGCUAUGGUGAGCUCACGGGGGAGGAAGCAGGGAGCAGACCACGACCUGAAGACAAAGAAGGUGGUCGUGAGCUCACUGCCCCCCACGUUAGGGCCACACCUCUGCUCCCGGUCAGCCUGAGGACACCCCGGGGCUUUGGAGGUGUGGAGGCCAUUCAGUGAAUCCAGGUGAGCCAGGAUGCCUCGUCGCCUUGGUUUCUCUCCGUGAGAUGCAGGGCAGCUCUGUGCCCCUGCAGGGCCUUUUCGGUUAGCACAGGACAGUCAGGUCCUGGUGAGUUCAGCCCCACCCAGACAUCCAUGCCCUGCACGGCUGCACUUGGCCGCCUCAGCGAAAGUGCACACAGUUCAGCUGAGGCCAGUCAGGAUCCUCGCCCCUUUCCCACUCGUCUCCUCGGAACAGCCUUCCCAGAUCACCUAAGGCAGGGAAUGGUAAAAUGUCAGCCAGCACAUGAUUUCUGCCUCUGAGCCAGAUGCUCACCCUCUUCUUCCUAAAUCGGGGCGGUAGAGCAGUUGGGCAUCUUCUGUAAGGUUCUGGCUCAACAUUCCUGCCUCUCAAAGGGUGUCAGACAGAAUCAGAAACAUCCUGAGCGGGAGCACCGAGGGUCAAGCAGGGACAUCACGGUGUCCCUUCCUCGCUGCCCUUCCCACGGGCUCUGGCCCCUCCUCUUUCCAAGGAUCCAGGAAUUCCCCUCCAGCUUCCCAGACUGUUUUUCCAUUCCCGCCUCUGCUAGCACGAGGGGAAAUAAGGUCUGGAUACUUCCCACCCCCUGCAAGUACCCCCCCACAACUCCAGAUGAAAUCAGUUCAUUCGAUCUGAUUUCUCCUCUGCGGUGCCAGUCUUCCAAAUUUUGUGUUGUUCUCAACCGCAGACCUGUAUCUCCCACUUCCUCUGGAAUUGUGGAGUUUGGGGGUGAAAACACUCGUGAGCAGGAUGCUUGCCCCUUGGGAUUUCCAGACCACCGCUGGCCCGGAGACCGUCAGGAGUGUGGAGGGCUAUGGCUCUUAGAUAUGGAAACUCAGACACAAAAGGUUCCAAGUUACCCGUUCCGAGAACUCCCGUCCCUCCAGAAUUCACCUGCUGGUAGAGAAUCCAUCACAUGGGACGAGAAGGAUGGAAACGCUUUUGGUAGGACACCUCUCAAAGAGAAGACCCAGAAGUGGGCACCUGGGGGUAUAGGGAACAUAGGCGAGGUGGAGACGGCCAUGCCCAAAAAGGAGAGGGGUUUGGGGAUGGAAGUAGAGAAACUGUUUUAGAAAACUAGCCCGGGGCGCCUGGGUGGCUCAGUCGGUUAAGCCUCCAACUUCAGCUCAGGUCAUGAUCUCAUGAUUUGUGAGUUCAAGCCCCGCGUCGGGCUCUGUGCUGAUGGCUCAGAGCCUGGAGCCUGCUGAGAAUUCUGUGUCUCCCUCUCUCUCUGCCCCUCCCCUGCUCACACUGUUUCUCUCUCUCUCUC